rnacentral:rRNA from 1 species
UCAUAUGAACAUUCCUACACCGUUCAUGCACCAGAUUCCAUUAGAAGUCCAUAGUUCAACACACUUGGGCUAGAGUAGUACUAGGAUGGGUUACCUCCCCAAAAGUCCUAGUUUUUCACAUGCC